rnacentral:tRNA from 1 species
CAGAACAUAGCUAAAUAGUUAAAGCAUCUCCCUUACACCGAGAAGUCGCCUAUGCAAAUUAGGCUGAUCUGA